rnacentral:rRNA from 14 species
GUUUAUGGCCAUAUCCCCCUGAACACAACUCGCCUCACUGGCUCUCAGAAGCUAAGCAGACUUAGGUAUGGUUAGUGCUUGAAUGUGAGAAAAGCAGACCAUGAGGC